rnacentral:rRNA from 1 species
UACGGAGGGUGCAAGCGUUAAUCGGAAUUACUAGGCGUAAAGCGCACGCAGGUGGCUGAGUCAGUCGAUUGUGAAAGCCCUGGGCUUAACCUGGGAAUUGCAGUCGAUACUACUCAGCUAGAGUAUGGGAGAGGGCAGUGGAAUUCCCGGUGUAGCGGGUGAAAUGCGUAGAUAUCGGGAGGAACAUCAGUGGCGAAGGCGGC